GACAUAGGUGGCAAACGUUAUCCGGAAUUACUGGGUGUAAAGCGCGUGUAGGCUGUUCGGGAAGUCGGAUGUGAAAGCCCUGGGCUCAACCUAGGAAGUGCAUUCGAAACUCCCGAACUGGAGUCCCGGAGAGGAAGGCGGAAUUCUCGGUGUAGAGGUGAAAUUCGUAGAUAUCGGGAGGAACACCGGUGGCGAAGGCGGCGACCUGGGUAGAUACUGACGCUGAGGUGCGAAAGCGUGGGGAGCAAACAGG
rnacentral:rRNA from 1 species